GUGCCCGCUUCAGCAGCACAUACACUAAAAUUGGAACAAUAAUACAAAAAGGAUUCGCAUGGCCCCUGCACAAGGAUGACAUGCAAAUCUGUGAAGCGUUCCAUAUUUUC
rnacentral:snRNA from 1 species